rnacentral:rRNA from 1 species
AGCGAACGCUGGCGGCAGGCUUAACACAUGCAAGUCGAGCGGGCAUCCUUGUGGUGUCAGCGGCAGACGGGUGAGUAACGCGUGGGAACGUGCCCUUCGGUUCGGAAUAACUCAGGGAAACUUGAGCUAAUACCGGAUACGUGCGAGAGCAGAAAGGUUUAUCUGCCGAAGGAUCGGCCCGCGUCUGAUUAGCUAGUUGGUGAGGUUACGGCUCACCAAGGCGACGAUCAGUAGCUGGUCUGAGAGGAUGAUCAGCCACACUGGGACUGAGACACGGCCCAGACUCCUACGGGAGGCAGCAGUGGGGAAUAUUGGACAAUGGGGGCAACCCUGAUCCAGCCAUGCCGCGUGAGUGAUGACGGCCUUAGGGUUGUAAAGCUCUUUUCUCCGGGACGAUAAUGACGGUACCGGAGGAAUAAGCCCCGGCCAACUUCGUG